rnacentral:tRNA from 1 species
CGGGUGGUAGACGAGGUUCACGUCGCCGGCGGGGAUACCGUCGUCGCGGACGGCCAGCAGCUCGAUGGUGCCGUCCACCUCGGCCGAC